rnacentral:rRNA from 1 species
GGGCCCGCACAAGCGGUGGAGUAUGUGGUUUAAUUCGAUGCAACGCGAAGAACCUUACCUGGGCUCUAAUGCGAGUGACCGCUCCUGAAGGGAGCUUUCCUUCGGGACACGAAGCAAGGUGCUGCAUGGUUGUCGUCAGCUCGUGCCGUGAGGUGUUGGGUUAAGUCCCGCAACGAGCGCAACCCCUAUCUUUAGUUGCCAGCGAUUCGGUCGGGGACUCUAGAGAGACUGCCUGCGCAAGCAGAGAGGAAGGCGGGGACGACGUCAAAUCAUCAUGGCCUUUAUGCCCAGGGCUACACACGUGCUACAAUGGUAAGGACAAAGGGCAGCGAGCCGGCGACGGUCAGCGAAUCCCAAAACCUUAUCUCAGUUCGGAUUGGAGUCUGCAACUCGACUCCAUGAAGUUGGAAUCGCUAG